GAAACAUUCUGUAAUAUACAUUAGUACAACGAGAAACUUGACUGUAAUUUUUUUUAGUUGAAAACAUCUUGACGUCAAUUAAAGAUGAGGACAUGUGUGUUGAUCAUUUUUUUGAGUUUCCUGUUGUUGGGAGUUGUUGAUCCUGUCCAUGGUCAGAGUAUAUUUGGCUGCUCGAGAGGACGUUGCCGUUUUGGGACUGGGCGAUGCAACAGAGAGUGUGUGCUCAGAGGGCGCCGUAUGGGGGUCUGUCACCCCUGUGGUUGGGGAAGAUGGAGAUGCCAAUGCUUUUAGCAACUGUAUUUCGCUAUGCACUAUAAAGAUCACUUAUCAAAAGAGAGUGUUUGGCUAACUAUAAAGAUGACUUACUUAAAGAGAGUGUUUGGCUAACUAUAAAGAUAACUUAAUCACAGAGAGUGUGUCGUUUACCUAUCAAGAUUUCUUACUGAAGGAAAGUGCUAAAUUUAUUGUUAUCAUUGCUUUAAUCAAAAGAAAUAAUAAAAAAAAUAUUCCAUCUUA